ACUAAUUUAGACUUAUAUGAUGUAAUCUACACAUUAGUAAUUGAGGAUCAAAUAAUAGAGGGAGGACAAUUGUAAUCAAUUUAAUGAAUUCUAAAUUAUUUCAUUGUAACAAGCAAAUAGUAAAAAAUAAAAUUAUCAUUAUGAAAACAAAUAAAAAUAAAAAUUCAAGCACAUAAUAAAAAAAAUAGAAUAGCAAAAAAAAUACUAACAUGAUGUGGAGAUUCGAGAUGCCAAAUAGCAAUGAUUGAUGAACA
rnacentral:lncRNA from 1 species